rnacentral:tRNA from 1 species
CAGGAUUGUAGUUUAAGUAAAACAUUUGCAUUGGAAGCUAAAAAUCAGGUAAGUACCUGCAUCUUGA